rnacentral:rRNA from 1 species
GAUGAACGCUGGCGGCGUGCCUAAUACAUGCAAGUCGAGCGAACAGACGAGGAGCUUGCUCCUCUGACGUUAGCGGCGGACGGGUGAGUAACACGUGGAUAACCUACCUAUAAGACUGGGAUAACUUCGGGAAACCGGAGCUAAUACCGGAUAAUAUAUUGAACCGCAUGGUUCAAUAGUGAAAGACGGUUUUGCUGUCACUUAUAGAUGGAUCCGCGCCGCAUUAGCUAGUUGGUAAGGUAACGGCUUACCAAGGCGAUGAUGCGUAGCCGACCUGAGAGGGUGAUCGGCCACACUGGAACUGAGACACGGUCCAGACUCCUACGGGAGGCAGCAGUAGGGAAUCUUCCGCAAUGGGCGAAAGCUUGACGGAGCAACGCCGCGUGAGUGAUGAAGGUCUUCGGAUCGUAAAACUCUGUUAUUAGGGAAGAACAAAUGUGUAAGUAACUAUGCACGUCUUGACGGUACCUAAUCAGAAAGCCACGGCUAACUACGUG